UGGCAAAAAUGUAUUGGAGAAUGAAAAUUGUGAACUGUGUGGUGGUAAAUGAUAGUAGUUGUGGUGUGAUGAUGGGAUCACUGAUGUCAUUAUACUGAAAUUAGUUCAAGAAACAUAGGGUUAAUAAAAUUGAUGGCUUAUGGUGCCUAAAAUAUCUGUUUGUGCUAUGUUGGAGUUGAGUGAUGAUCUAUUGCAGAGUGGAGAUGGAGAGAAGGGAAAAUUGGAGAUGAAGAGAAUUUUAUAUGUUUAAGAGGAUAAGAAUAGAGAAGCAUAUCAAGAAUGGAGUUGAUCAAUCAAUAUAAUGGAGUGAAGAAUUAUAUAUCACUAGACCGCCAUAAGUUCCUUGUGUUAUACUUAUGGGAUGGAUAAAUAGAUGCUUAUAUAAUGUGUGCAUUGUAGAUAACAACAUUUGGCAUGGAGAAGAGCAGGAGUGGAAAAGGUGGAGAAGGAAGUGGAGAAUAAUAAAUAAAUUGGUUAGAUUUGAAUGCCAGUGCUCA
rnacentral:misc_RNA from 1 species